GAGCACGUAGGUGGGUUUGUAAGUCAGAUGUGAAAGCCUUCUGUUCAACGGGAGAAUUGCAUCUGAAACUACAGACCUUGAGUAUAGGAGGGGAGAAUGGAACUUCUGGUGGAGCGGUGAAAUGCGUAGAUAUCAGAAGGAACGCCGGCGGCAAAAGCGAUUCUCUGGCCUAUUACUGACACUCAGUGUGCGAAAGCUAGGGGAGCAAACGGGAUUAGAUACCCCGGUAGUCCUAGCCGUAAACGAUGGGCACUAAGUAGAGGGGUUUU
rnacentral:rRNA from 1 species